CGGGUACUAAUAGCAGCCAAACUCCGAAUACCUGUUAGGUUUAUCAUGGCAGUGAGUCGGCGGGGGAUAAGCUCCGUCGUCAAAAGGGAAACAGCCCUGAUCGUCGUCUAAGGUCCCGAAGCGCGUGCUAAGUGGGAAAGGAUGUGGAGUCGCAUAGACAGCCAGGAGGUUGGCUCAGAAGCAGCCAUCCUUGAAAGAGUGCGUAACAGCUCACUGGUCUAGUGGUUCCGCGCCGACAAUGUAGCGGGGCUUAAGCACGCCACCGAAGACGCGACUGCGUGAUUUUUCACGCGGGGUAGGAGAGCGUCCUGUAUGGGGUGAAGCGGCAGUGUGAACUUGUCGUGGACUAUACGGGAGUGAGAAUGCAGACAUGAGUAGCGAGAGACAGGUGUGAAUCCUGUCCGCUGAAUGACUAAGGGUUCCGGGGCCACGUUCGUCGUCCCCGGGUGAGUCGAGUCCUAAGGCGAGGCCGACAGGCGUAGUCGAAUGGAUGAACGGGUUGAUAUUCCCGUACCGGUGUUACACCGUUCGAACUGAAUCUGAGAGUACUAACCUUCGUUAUUCUGGUUGAUUGCCUUUCGGGGUUUUCUUCUGGUUUAGUGUUGGGAGCGUAUCGGUAGUAGGUUAGCGUGGGAGUGACGCGGGUAGGUAGCCGGCUGCGGAGGUGGUUUUCCGUGGCUAAGCGUGUGGGCUGUCUCCUAGGUAAAUCCGGGGGAUGUUUAAGCUGAGGCGUGAUGGGUAGGCCGUAUGGCUGAUUCCGGUGAUCCUGCUUGCCGAGAAAAGCUUCAACGUGAGGUGUGAUUCCGCUCGUACCCUAAACCGACACUGGUGGUCUGGUAGAGUAUACCGAAGCGAUCGGGCGAAUCCUGGCCAAGGAACUCGGCAAAUUACUCCCGUGCCUUCGGCAUAAGGGAGACCCCUGAUGGUGAUGUUUUUUACAAGCGGAGCUGUUGGGGGUGGCACAAGCUAGGGGGUAGCGACUGUUUACCAAAAACACAGGAGCGUGCGAAGGCGUAAGCCGCUGUAUACGCUCUGACGCCUGCCCGGUGCCGGAAGGUUAAGAGGAUCCGUUAGCUUUGGCGAAGCGGUGAAUUUAAGCCCCGGUAAACGGCGGUGGUAACUAUAACCAUCCUAAGGUAGCGAAAUUCCUUGUCGGGUAAGUUCCGACCUGCACGAAUGGCGUAACGACUUCCCCACUGUCUCGGCCAGGAGCCCGGCGAAAUUGCAGUACGAGUAAAGAUGCUCGUUAAGCGCAGAAGGACGAAAAGACCCCGGGACCUUUACUAUACCUUGGUAUUGUCGUUAGGUGUGGAUCGUGUAGCAUAGGCGGGAGGCUGUGAAGCGUGGGCGCUAGCUUGCGUGGAGUCAACAAGUGAAAUACCGCUCUUUCCAUAUCUGGCGUCUAACCUCGACACGUUAUCCGUGUUAGGGACAGUGCCUGGCGGGUAGUUUAACUGGGGCGGUUGCCUCCUAAAGAGUAACGGAGGCGCUCAAUGGUCCGCUCAGCCCGGUUGGCAAUCGGGUGUUGAGUGUAAUCGCACAAGCGGGCUUGACUGUGAGACUGACGGGUCGAGCAGGGACGAAAGUCGGAGAUAGUGAUCCGGUGCCGGCGUACGGACGUGGCAUCGCUCAACGGAUAAAAGGUACCCCGGGGAUAACAGGCUGAUCAUUCCCAAGAGUCCAUAUCGACGGGAUGGUUUGGCACCUCGAUGUCGGCUCGUCGCAUCCUGGGGCUGGAGCAGGUCCCAAGGGUUCGGCUGUUCGCCGAUUAAAGCGGCACGCGAGCUGGGUUCAGAACGUCGUGAGACAGUUUGGUCUCUAUCCUCUGCGCUCGUUGGAAUGUUGAGGAGACCUGCCCAUAGUACGAGAGGACCUGGGUGGACGAACCUCUGGUAUGCCGGUCGUCACGCCAGUGGCGCUGCCGGUUAGCUACGUUUGGAAGGGAUAACCGCUGAAAGCAUCUAAGCGGGAAGCCUGCUCCAAGAUUAGCAUUCCUUGCACUUUGUGUGUGAGCCCCCAUGUAGAACACGUGGUUGAUAGGCUGGAUGUGGAAGCCCUGUAAGGGGUGGAGCUGACCAGUACUAAUGGGCGAUUGUGAUACUAC
rnacentral:rRNA from 1 species